rnacentral:sRNA from 1 species
GUGGAUCCCUAGAUGGGAGCCGGGGAUGGGCCGGGUGCCUGGCGGGUGGCAGUCGGGGCCGACCGCCUCGGGCCCUGGACACCUUCACCCCGCCGCCUGCCCAGGCGGGCCGGCCCUGCCCGUCCACCGGCCGCGAGAGUCCCCGGCCUUGGGUCCCCGGGGCCGCUGACUGGCCUCGGUCACCUCCCGGGGAAGGCUCCCGCGCCUCCAUCUGCCCCCGCAGGAAGGGACCCUCUUCUCGCCCGCGAGGCUUCUCCGGGUGGGAUCGUCCUGGCCCCCAGCCCUAAGGGAUCCGCCCCCUCCGAGCAUCCGCCGCCCCUCGGAGACCACUCCAGCUCGGACGGAGCCACUCCAGCCCCCGCUGCACGCGGAAGCGCUCAUCCUCCCCGCCUGCCCCGUUCCCUCCCCCUUCUCCUGUGCGACAACCAGGGACCACAGCUCCCCGCUCCCCAGGUGUGGGGGCUCCGACACGAACGCCUCUGCUCGCAGGGCGGUGAGCGCAGAUCCCACGGGUCCCUCGGUCGGGGGUCGAGGCUGCUUCCGUUUCCAUCCCGGACCCGACAAUGGGCGGGAAAAAGAAGGCUUUACACGACUACGCGGCGGAGUUCACCGACCUGGUGGUGAAGCACCUGAUUGAGCACAGUGACUCUGGGGACACGUCUGUGGUGGAGACCCUUUACUGCAGGGCCUGCGAGCUGCCCGUGCGCGUGCGGAGGGACCGCAUCCUGGAACACCUGUCCUCGGGCAGGCAGCACGGCCUGCGGACGCCCAUUCUCAUGUAAAUGUCAGUGCCAACGCUGGUGUUUCAGGAGACAUCCCAGCGGGCUGCGGGCUAUUUUAGGAUUCUCUGCCCUGCAAACGUUUCCAAAGUGCGUGGACAGGCCGCCUGAUGACACUACGUUUACGGGAUCUGCUAGUGGCUUGCCUACUUAGGGAGUAAACCCUGUGAAGUCUCGCAGUUUUAUUAAAGUGUGCGUGGCCACCUGAAUGCUGCCUUAUCACAAGCCAGAUACAUACUGGUCUGCAGGGUAACUCCCCACUGUUGAUCCUCUGAGAUGAUUGUGGACUGGGUGCUGUGAGUCCUGCCACUUUGUUUAAGUGAAUGUGUCUUUUGUCCAGCUCAGCCGCCUCGGAUCUCGCUGCCACCAGCCUUACUGCACACCCGUGCCACCCGCCCUUGCCCCGUCAGCCUCAGCCUCAGCUCAUUCUCUCAGGCAGUCCCAGCAUUGGCACGGUACCUCCUCCCGCUGUGGGCCACACGUCUCUGCUCCCUGUCAACCCUACUGCCAUCAGCACCACCACCAGCGACUUGUCUGCCCAGGAGGAUGCAACACCAUCUGCCUCCACCGGCCACCUUUCAGUGUUUCCUGCUUUCCAAGUAAAGAUACCAGCAGUGCCCGCAGAGCAGACCAGCCAGAGAUUUUCUGAAGCCUCCCACAGGGUGCUCCCCGGAGGAGGCCCGAGAUGCUCUCGUGACUUUGGAGCCGGGGUGGCUGGCCACCUUGGCCUGGGCAUCUUUGGGAUGGGCUUCGGGAGCCCGGCACUGCUGCAGAGUGUGGUGGAUGAGAACAGCUGCUGCUUGCUGUACGUGGUGGAGGACCAGCUGUGUGAUGUGGAGCGAGCCUUCAGAGCUGAGCAUUUGGGCCAACACCAGAGUGGUUCGGGAACAGGAUGCAGACAUUGUCCUCAACGACCAGCGGCACUUUGAUCCGGUUUUCCAGUUCUUGCACAAGCAAGUUUUUGUCAGCCACGCCCUGGGGAGGAUCCACUGGAUCACCGCCGUCACAGCCUGUUCCCGGUGGCCUCUCCGGCUUCCCUAAAGAGAGCAGGUGGGACUUUCUACAACGCUGCUAUGCACGACGCGGAUGCCGUAUGCAUGUUGCUGGGGGAAGCCACUCCGGACACUGUGUUUUCUCUGGGACAUGUCUUCUGCCCAGAUAUGGCCGCCUUAAAAGAUGCAGAUGCUGUUGUGAUCAGCAUGAAGUUUCCCUGUGAGGCUGUGGUCAGCGUGGACAUCAGCCAGCACUGCACAGACAGCUGCGACCAGGACGUCAGCCAGCACUGCACAGACAGCUGCAACCAGGACGUCAGCCAGCACUGCACAGACAGCUGCGACCAGGAUGUCAGCCAGCACUGCACAGACAGCUGCAACCAGAGACUGGAGGUGACGCCUGCCCUUUUCCACCCUUCGCCAGUCCACUGUGAAAAGCUGGGUUGAUUGUGCAGGUUAGAUAGAGGUCAUCAGCCAGGUUGAUUGUGUGGGUUAGAUAGAGAUCAUCAGCCUGGUGGAUUGUGUGGGUUAGAUAGAGAUCAUCAGCUGGGUUGAUUGUGCGGGUUAGAUAGAGGUCAUCAGCUUGGUUGAUUGUGCGGGUUAGAUAGAGAUCAUCAGCCUGGUUGAUUCUACAGGUUAGAUAGAGAUCAUCAGCUGGGUUUAUUGUGUGGGUUAGAUAGAGAUCAUCAGCUUGGUUGAUUGUGCGGGUUAGAUAGAGGUCGUCAGCCGGGUUGAUUGUGCGGGUUAGAUAGAGAUCAUCAGCCGGGUUGAUUGUGUGGGUUAGAUAGAGAUCAUCAGCCGGGUUGAUUGUGUGGGUUAGAUAGAGAUCAUCAGCCGGGUUGAUUGUGCGGGUUAGAUAGAGGUCAUCAGCCGGGUUGACUGUGUGGGUUAGAGAUCAUCAGCUGGGUUGAUUGUGCGGAUAGAGAUCGUCAGCCGGGUUGAUUGUGCGGGUUAGAUAGAGGUCAUCAGCUUGGUUGAUUGUGUGGGUUAGAUAGAGAUCAUCAGCCGGGUUGAUUCUGCGGGUUAGAUAGAGGUCAUCAGCUGGGUUGAAUGUGUGGGUUAGAUAGAGGUCGUCAGCUGGGUUGAUUGUGUGGGUUAGACAGAGGUCAUCAGCUGGGUUGAUUCUGCGGGUUAGAUAGAGGUCAUCAGCCGGGUUGAUUGUGUGGGUUAGAUAGAGAUCAUCAGCUGGGUUGAUUGUGUGGGUUAGAUAGAGGUCAUCAGCUGGGUUGAUUGUGUGGGUUAGAUAGAGGUCAUCAGCUGGGUUAAUUGUGUGGGUUAGAUAGAGGUCAUCAGCUGGGUUGAUUGUAUGGGUUAGAUAGAGGUCAUCAGCUGGGUUGAUUGUACGGGUUAGAUAGAGGUCGUCAGCCGGGUUGAUUCCGCAGGUUAGAUAGAGGUCGUUAGCUGGGUGUGUGGGUCCCAAGGCAUGCUGCAGAUGGAGAAUCAGAAUUCCUUGGGCAUCACCGGGCGCGGCAUGUCCCUGUCCCUUCGCUCCCAGACCCAGGCUAGCCGCUACCAGGACUCCUAUCGAGAGCUCUUCAGACACUUUGUCAGAACCCUUAAAGGUGGGUGACGUUUUCAGGAGGAACCUGGGAUGUCCUGAUGCUCAAUGGGUAGAUGCCUUCCAGGCUGCAGUGAGUGCAGAUGAUAUGCCAAUUUCAGGUGGAAAAUUGCAUUCCAGAUACUGGGUUCAGAUUUGAAAUUGUCCAUCUCAGUGAUCAUUUACGUUGCGUGUACUUGAGGGAGAUUCUGAGAGAUGCUCCUUUGGGGUUCUGUGCGUGUACCAUGUUGCCUGACACGUCCUGAGAAAUCUUCUUAAACUCUGAGUUUAUAAAAUAACUACUUCUGAACUCCUGAGAUCUAGUGGAUACCAUGUGUCCUGGAAGAUAGGACACUUUCUACCCUCUGUCAGUCCUGGGGGUGACUGGGAACCAGAGAGGUUGAGCAGAAUUCCUGGACCUGGGUGGGGCUUGUCCAAGAGGGGCAGGUGGGCCUCUCUAGGAUCAGUGUCCCACCCAGAGGCCAGUGGCCCCUUCACAUGCCCCAACAAGAGGAAGACUGUCUGGCUCCGCAGUGUUGGGUUUUGUCCUGAAUCUGUGCAAAUGUGCAGGGAAAUAACCUCCUGAAAUCACCAAAGAGCAGUUCCUCAGGGCCUCCCGGGUGACCGUGGCUGUGGAGCAGUCGUGGUGGAACCGGUCAGAUGUGGACCUGCCCUGCGAAUCGGCAGAGGCCUCCGUGGUGAAGACAGAAGCUCCGUGAACCAACCCGAGGCUGGAGCCAAGAUCCUGCCGGAUAUCCAGUUGCCUGUUUCACUUGUUACUGUUACUGGGAGAGGGAGACAAAACCUCAUGGCGAUCUUGUCCUCACUGGAGACUCAGAAGGGGAAGCAUUGGGAAACCAUGUAUGUUUCAUUUCUGGUUUAACCAGGCUUUUCAGGAUGUGACUUCAGACCAAGGACACAAGUUGGGCUUGCUUAGGUGUUUUGUGUUGUGCGCAGGCCUCAGAGAUGCUCUUCCGGUCAGAGUUCCCUUGGCAGGGCCUUGGAGGCCUCUGGUUGGCUCUCUCAGGAAGAGGGCAGGUCAGGGAUUGGGCGCUGUAAAUUGACUCAGAAACCUGCGGUUUCAGCUUUUCUGUGGCAAACAGGGCCGAGGGCUGGUGAAGCUGUUAAGGCUAAAUGUCGCAUGCAUGAGGCGGGCUGCAGGCCUCCUUAGGCCUUUUUUGGGGUAAUUACACCAGUAUUUAAAAACAUUUUUUGUUUGUUUGUUUUGAGACGGAGUCUUGCCCUGUCACCCAGGCUGGAGUGCAAUGGUGCGAUCUCGGCUCACUGCAACCUCCGUCUCCCGGGUUCAAGCGAUUCUUCUGCCUCAGCCUUCUGAGUAGCUGGGAUUACACGCGUGUGCCACCACGCUCGGCUAAUUUUUGUAUUUUUAGUAGAGAUGGGAUUUCACCAUGUUGGCCAGGCUGGUCUCGAACUACUGACCUCGUGAUCCACCUGCCACGGCCUCCCAAAGUGCUGGGAUUACAGGCGUGAGCCACCAUGCUUGGCCUAAAAAACAAUUUUCUUGAAGAAUCCGAUUUGUGCAUAGUAAUGACACAGCACCAUUCCUGAGAAAUAGGAAAUAUAUGUGUGUGGUAUGAAAAGCCCAUAUUCUGUUCUUGUCACCUGAAUCUAAAGGCUUCCUCUUUGGAUGUGAACGCGGGAAUGAACAGUGGCUGUUUUCCACCCAAAGGGGCGUGGAGACCUUUUGGAAACGGGCUUUCUCCUUUCCAUUUUGCAGCUGGGGGCGGGUGGAAACCUUCCUUCGAAGGGUAGUGCCUUGGGGAGCAGCAGACCUGCUCUGAGUCCAGCUUAGCUUUCCAAAAUUCUGUGUGGAACUUACUGGAGAUGUUUUUAUAUAUUUGAAAAUAAUGGCCUGUAUUUCUCACGCUAUACUUAAAAAAAUAACUAACCUUUUAAACAAAGAUAUUCAAACUCACCCUUGUGCUGAAAGCACUCACAUUUCUGUGUUCAUUCCUGAAAGGGCGUUUUAGAGUCCCCGUUUCUACGUUCUAUGUGGCACCCUCUUGCCGAGGGAACAUCCAGAAUCCCUCCACUUCCUGUCUAGUUUGAGGCCUCAACACCUUCAUGAUCCAGAGUCCUGUGGCUAUGAGGGGGUGGGCCCACCGCCGCCCAGCCCUCCUUGGUGGACGUGGGGACAGGUAGGAGCCUAGGGAAAGGGGUGAGCGGGCUCUGGUGUGACGGCGUGAGCGCUAGCCAGGAAGGUGGGGCCAGGGCCGGGCAUGGCACCUCACCUGUGGGGGAACUCGGCGGAGCUUCCUGGCGGCAUCUCCCCCUCUUGCCUUGGUCCUUUCUAUCUUUGUUUUAGGCCAAUUUCUAAAAAGACUGAGGCCUCCUUCAAGGUUGAACAGAUUUCUAGAGCCUUGUUUUUGCUGUGACAGGUCCCUAGUCCCUGUUCACAACUCUGAAACCAAGAAACCUGAGAACCAAGAGAACUGAAAUGAAACCCGUUGGUCUCAGCCUGGCUUGAGCCAACAUGAGGCUCUCUGCUGCCUUUUGUUUUCUUAGGUUUUGCUGAGAAACGGGAGUGCGUUCUGUGUCGGUGUUUGUGACGCCCUGAGACCCUGCUUGGCCUAGCUAAAGUCCAGAAGGCCUGGGCCCCACAGGGCUUGGAUGAGGGCUCAUGGGCCUGUACUUCAGGAGGCCUGAGGGGCCCGGUCAGUCCCAUGAGGCUACUCGGCUUGGCCCGCAGGUCCUCCGAGGCACAGGGCAGAGGGACACCCCAGGGACCCAUCAGACUCACGACACAGAGAAACUCAAGUGGGGUGCCAGGGCCGGCCACAGAGGCCACGGGCUUCCUGCCUGUGAGGAGCCGCCCUGUUUGUCUGAGCCCUUUGGAGAUUUAGGUUGAGUCAUGAGAACCGGUCAUUGGAACAUACACUUUAUUAUGUUACAAAAACAAAAAUCCCCACUGAAACACAGCUAAAAAAAUAACACAUUUUCCCAAGAUUACAUUACCAAAAACAGUUGUUAUGUCAUUGGAGGGCGUCCAUUAAUACUGCUCGGAGAAGCACGAUCUUACACGAAAAACACGGAUGGGAUUUCGUUUUCAUCUUAAAGCAUUAAAGUGCUUUAACUGGUAA